UACAGAGGGUGCGAGCGUAAUCGGAUUUACUGGGCGUAAAGGGCGCGUAGGCGGUUAUGUAAGUGAGAUGUGAAAUCCCUGGGCUUAACCUAGGAACUGCAUCUCAUACUGCGUAGCUAGAGUAUUGUAGAGGGUAGUGGAAUUUCCGGUGUAGCGGUGAAAUGCGUAGAGAUCGGAAGGAACACCAGUGGCGAAGGCGGCUACCUGGACAAAUACUGGACGCUGAUG
rnacentral:rRNA from 1 species